rnacentral:rRNA from 1 species
AACGAACGCUGGCGGCAGGCUUAACACAUGCAAGUCGAACGCCCCGCAAGGGGAGUGGCAGACGGGUGAGUAACGCGUGGGAAUCUACCCAGAUCUACGGAACAACAGUUGGAAACGACUGCUAAUACCGUAUACGCCCUACGGGGGAAAGAUUUAUCGGAUUUGGAUGAGCCCGCGUUGGAUUAGCUAGUUGGUGAGGUAAUGGCUCACCAAGGCGACGAUCCAUAGCUGGUCUGAGAGGAUGAUCAGCCACACUGGGACUGAGACACGGCCCAGACUCCUACGGGAGGCAGCAGUGGGGAAUAUUGGACAAUGGGCGCAAGCCUGAUCCAGCCAUGCCGCGUGAGUGAUGAAGGCCUUAGGGUUGUAAAGCUCUUUCACCGAUGAAGAUAAUGACGGUAGUCGGAGAAGAAGCCCCGGCUAACUUCGUGCCAGCCGCCGCGGUAAUAC